CUACGGGGGGUGCAAGCGUUAAUCGGAAUUACUGGGCGUAAAGCGCGCGUAGGCGGUUUGCUCAGUCGGAUGUGAAAGCCCAGGGCUCAACCUUGGAACUGCAUACGAUACUGGCAAACUAGAGUGUGAGAGAGGAUAGUGGAAUUUCCGGUGUAGCGGUGAAAUGCGUAGAUAUCGGAAGGAACAUCAGUGGCGAAGGCGACUGUCUGGCUCAACACUGACGCUGAGGUGCGAAAGCGUGGGUAGCAAACGGGAUUAGAAACCCUAGUAGUCC
rnacentral:rRNA from 1 species